rnacentral:rRNA from 1 species
UACAGAGGGUGCAAACGUUGUUCGGAAUUACUGGGCGUAAAGCGUGUGUAGGCGGUCUUACAAGUCAGGUGUGAAAGCCCCGGGCUCAACCCGGGAAGUGCACUUGAUACUGUUUGACUUGAGUACUGGAGAGGUUGGUGGAAUUCUCGGUGUAGAGGUGAAAUUCGUAGAUAUCGAGAGGAACACCUGUGGCGAAGGCGGCCAACUGGACAGAUACUGACGCUGAGACGCGAAAGCGUGGGGAGCAAACAGG